rnacentral:rRNA from 1 species
AGUCACUGACAUUAGAUACCCGCGUAGUCCAGGGUGUAAACGCUGCAGACUUGGUGUUGGAAAUCCUUCGAGGAUAUUCAGUGCCGGAGAGAAGUUGUUAAGUCUGCUACUUGGGAGUACGUCCGCAAGGAUGAAACUUAAAGGAAUUGGCGGGGGAGCACCGCAACGGGAGGAGCGUGCGGUUUAAUUGGAUUCAACACCGUAAACUCACCAGGGAAGACUGUUACAUGAAGGCCGAGAUGAAGACUCUGCUAGAUUUUCAG